UACGAAGGGGGCUAGCGUUGCUCGGAAUCACUGGGCGUAAAGGGUGCGUAGGCGGGUCUUUAAGUCAGGGGUGAAAUCCUGGAGCUCAACUCCAGAACUGCCUUUGAUACUGAGGAUCUUGAGUUCGGGAGAGGUGAGUGGAACUGCGAGUGUAGAGGUGAAAUUCGUAGAUAUUCGCAAGAACACCAGUGGCGAAGGCGGCUCACUGGCCCGAUACUGACGCUGAGGUGCGAAAGCGUGGGGAGCAACAGG
rnacentral:rRNA from 1 species